GUGAAGCCUAGAACCCUCCUUCCUCUCCCCUCCUGCCAGGGUUGCUGUGCAGGGAGUGUCGGCCACAUUUGGCGCACUGUCCCAGGCCCGGGGCGAAGGUGGCCAGGGGAAAUGGGGCUUAGGGAUUGCUAAGCAAACGUCACCAUUGGUGGUCUACAAGCGUCUGCGGAGUUUGAGGGAAGAGCAAGACGGUGGAGGAGGAGGAGACCUAAAUAUCAUCAGGUCCCAGGAAUUAAGCUAGAUCAUUAUCAAACCAUUCUGAACACCUACAAACGCAACAGGAGAGAGAAAAGAAGAAAAGCAGCAAUUCUAGGAAUAGAAAAUCGACCCCUUUCCAGAAGUCAUAUUCCAUCCCUUCAUUGUGUUUACAUGAAUAGAGGAAUGUUGAAAAAGAAAACCAAAGUCAGCAGCAUCACAAUUCCAGACUUCAAGCUCUAUUACAAAGCUGCAAUUAUCAAGACUACAGUAUGGUACUGGCACAAAAACAGACACAUAGAUCAAUGGAACAUAAGAGAGAGUUCAGAAAUGGACCCUCAACUCUAUGGUCAACUCAUCUUCAACAAAGCAGGAAAGAAUGUCCAAUGGAGAAAAGACAGUCUCUUCAACAAAUGGUGUUGGGAGAAUUGGACAGCCACAUGCAGAAGGAUGAAACUGGGCCAUUUCCUUACACCACACACAAAAAUAGACUCAAAAUGGAUGAAAUAUCUCAAUGUGAGACAGGAAUCUAUCAAAUUCCUUGAGGAGAAUGUAGGAAGCAACCUCUUUUACCUCAGCUGCAGCAAAUUCUUCCUAGAAAUAUCGCCAAAAGCAAGGGAAGCAAGGACAAAAAUGAACUGUUGUGACUUCAUCAAGAUAAAAACUUUUGCACUGCAAAGGAAGCUGUCAACAAAACCAAAAGACAACUGACAGAAUGGGAGAAGAUAUUUGCAAAUAACAGAUAAAGGGAUGGUAUCCAAAAUUUAUAAACAACUUAUCAAACUCAACACCCAAAGAACAAAAAUCCAACCAAGAAAUGGGCAGAAGACAUGAACAGACAUUUCUGCAAAGAAGACAUACAAAAGGCCAACAGACACAUAAAAAGUGCUCCACAUCACUUGGCAUCAGGGAAAUACAAAUCAAAACCACAGUGAUAUACCACCUCAUACCAGUGAGAUACCACCUCACACACAUCAGAAUGGCUAAAAUUAACAAGUCAGGAAACAACAGGUGUUGGCGAGGAUGCAGAGAAAGGGGAACCCUCCUGCACUGUUGGUGGGAAUGCAGGCUAGUGAAGCCACUCUGGAAAACAGUAUGGAGGUUCCUCAAAAAGUUGAAAAUAGGGCAUCUGGGUGGCUCAGUGGGUUAAAGCCUCUGCCUUCGGCUUAGUCAUGAUCCCAGGGUCCUGGGAUCAAGGCCCGCAUCGGGCUCUCUGCUCGGCUGGGAGCCUGCUUCCUCCUCUCUCUCUGCCUGCUUCUCUGCCUACUUGUGAUCUCUGUCUGUUAAAUAAAUAAAUAAAAAUCUUAAAAAAAAAAAAGUUGAAAAUAGAGCUACCCUAUGACCCAGCAAUUGCACUACUGGGUAUUUACCCUAAAGAUACAAAUGUAGUAACCCAAAUGUUUACAGCAGCAAUGUCCACAAUAGCCAAACUAUGGAAAGAACCUAGAUGCCCAUCAGCAGAUGAAUGGAUAAAGAAGAUGUGGUAUUAUAUAUACAAUGGAAUACUAUGCAACCAUCAAAAGACAUGAAAUGUUGCCAUUUACGGCGAUGUGAAUGGAACUAGAGGGUAUUAUGCUGAACGAAAUAAGUCAAUCAGAGAAAGACAAUUAUCAUAUGAUCUCCAUGAUAUGAGGAAGUUG